UAUAAUUGUAUAUAGGGUUGUUUUUCUUUAAUGUUCUUAUUGUAAUUUUGGAUUUAAUAAUUGAAUUUUGAGCAAAUUACUUAAAUGACGUAACAUGUAAUUAAUUGAUUUGCUGAAAAAUGCUUUUGAGUUUGAGUUUGAUAAAAACAAGUCAAGUAAUACUUGACAAAUAUACAAAUAAAAACUUGCGCUAUCUUCAACAGUGUACUUCACACACAUUUUUACGGUGAAAUGCAAAUUUACAAAUUUUAACCACAACAGGGGAUAAUAGUCGGUGCACACCAGCACACCAGAAAUUUUUGGUGGUGCACACCGGCACGCCAGGCUUUUUGCUCGUGCACACCGGAGAUCUCGUCGAAAAGUGCCAUUCUCUGCAGACCGGAUCAUAGCGGCCUGGCCUGUUGCGUUGUAUGAGCGAAUGAAGAAUAAGUUAUACAAAUACUGUCUAGUUGUUAUACUGUAAAAGUUAUACUGUCUAGAAAUACUAAUUCUGUUUGGCACCUUCAAUUCUUAGAAUUAGUAAAUUUAAUAUUUUAUUUUAAUUAAAUCUGGCAGAAAAGAGUAUACCAUAUACAUAUAAUAUAUGUAUGCAAUGUUAUGAUCAUACAAUGUUUUUGUUCGAUAGGUAUCUCUGUGCAUUGGCAUACAGUCUUGGUGUCUGUCAGAGACAAACGUAGAUACUUCAAUUCCAGAACUUCUGAGAGAUUCAAAACCUUGUUGAUGCCAAAGCAACUCCAUCUGUGCAGAGCUUCCAUUAACGCUGCUUGUCUGUGAAGAACGAGGAACACAAAUUUCAAUGUUUAAAUUUAACAACAAACAUGAUCCAAGAUUAAUUUUUUGGUCUUUGACCAAGGCUGACCAGGUCAAAGACCACUAUUUCUGUUAUACAGAAACGACUGAGUCCGUGAUUUAAUUGAAAGUUUUUAUAUCAUGUUUUGUUACUUGAUGACUUCUGUUUAUUGUUAAUCGAUUCUCACUUGCAUUUUGAAUCUUUAUCCCAUAGAAUAUCAUUUCCCUGCUUCUUAAAUAUUUCUUGAGUUGCCAACCCCCUGCUUUUUUAGUUUCCAAAACCUUUUUCGCUUUUGUAUAAAAUAUUGAAGUAGUUUACAUUUGUCUAAAUGGUUUAAAAAAAUAACUGCAAAAUUGAAUAUUUGGGUAAUUUUUAUGUAUUAAAAACGGUGAUAGACAGAGAGACAAGGAGUUCCUUUUUUCCAUAAAGCGAGUGCCCCCGGUGUUGUACAGUCAUUACCAAUAACGUAUCUCAGCUGUUACACAAUAGAACGUUGUUAGGCAGUUAUAAAAAAACAAUAGGAAACUUAUUACUCACCAUGCUUUUUUCAUUCUUGCUUCGUUCUUUGUCCUGUUUUGGUUUGCGGACUGAGGGUAGAGCAUCACGUCGAAAAAAUGUUUUGGUAUUUUCGGUGUCAAAACCAGGAGGAGAAGGAAAUGUACGGGAAAAAUCAGUCGGAAAAAGGUGAUCUUGAAAAAGAUGAUGGCUCGAUAUCUUUACGCUGCAUUUUUAAUAAGUAAUGCCAAGCGGCGAACUUCUGUUGGGGCAGGUUUUCCAGGAUGGCAGUCAAGCACAACGGUAUCUUCCUCAAGGGGGUAUUCGUUCCAUAAAGUCAUGCACAACACUUUAUUUCAAUUUUUAUCAAUUUUAUAUUGAACCAAAAAAAUUUUCUAAAUUACUUUCCGACCUUUGAUGGCAUUGCUUGAGUUAUCUAAAUAAAAAUUAUUACAAUUAUGGAGGAAAAAUAUCUUUAGGGGGACAACAGUAGUGCCCGCACAUAGUGAAACCAUACAUAAGCCUUGUUCUAUUCAACGGAUACACAACCACUUUACGUCACAGGGGUCACGUGGCCACAGGUUCGACCGCGUUUUUCUCGUGACACAUUUUAGCUCGAGUGGGUGUUGGAAAACCCCGUUUUUUGGGGAAAGUAAGUCGCAAAUGAAAAAACUAAGUUCACCAUCGUUACCAGCGAUGUUUCUUUGAUGAUUUAAGCGAAUAAAAUUUUUCGUGUCAUAUGCACUUUAACAAAGUACAGUUUGUGAAGAAAUAAGUCUCAGAUUUUCCAUAUUAUAAUAAAAUACUAAAAAAAUAUAUAGAUUUUUCUCGAUAAGAAAAUAUACAUAUUGAUCACCAAAUAUUUAAUGCAAUGACGUUAAAAUCAAAACACAAUCAAGAGCCACGAAAACUGACAUUUGCCACAAUGACGAAAAUUUCCUUCAUCACUAGAACCCAAACUCCUUAGGUAUUCAAACAAUCCGGAGUGGUGCCAUGUUCUGCAUGAUGUCAUAUUUUUAGGAGAGCGUUCCUGAAUCUAGGCGACCUGUGAUUCGUUGAUGCAGUCACAAAACUCCUUGACGUGUAUGACAGGAUGUUAAUCAGAUUAUCCAAACCGGAUUCUUCACCUUCGGCCCGGACUAGUUCAGUCUGUGGGUGUUGGAUCGUGACAGUAAAGGCAGCCAAUUUGCAAAGGCUCCUUCGCUGUUGCAGAAAAAGCCAUAUAUGAUGGAAAGCGAAUUGCUGUCAAGAGACUAACUGAUGCCUCUCCAAGCACAGAUAAAAGCAUUUUCGCAAAGGAAGCGUCGCUGUUGAAGCAAAUAGACUGUGCGAACAUUGUAAAAUUGAUUAGUGUUUCCGAUGAUCCAAUGGCUGUCAUGCUAGAAUAUUUGAUUUUGCUCUACAAUGAAGAUCCUACUUUACCAAUAUAUGCUAAAGGAAGAAGUCAGCCUUGCUCAACAGCAGAAGUAGCCGAGUUACUAAUCAUUGGCGUCAAAUCUGAAUUGAUUUGCGCGAACACUCCCAUCUACGUAAAAAACAAUGUUGAAUUCGUUGUUGAUGCAAAUUCAUUAAAUGACUGGAGAGACAUUCGCGCAGACAUGAAUUGUGGAUUGCAGCGCUCCGGGACAAAAUCAUUUCACUUUGAUUUUUCAGAAGGCAAAGCCUUCACUGCUUAUAAGAGCAAUAGCACUCACGUUGCUACAAGAUACCUUUAUGUUCACAAAACAAACAGCGAUUUCCACAAGGUGAUUGUAAGCGUCAAGCACUUGGAAUCUGACAAAACCCUACCACUCUUUUAUGUCCAAUUCUACUUUAACGAUGGUGAGCAUCAGAUAGAAUUCGAUUUUCAACGUGCUGGGAAGGGCUCCAAGAAAAACGUACGGCAAACGAAGUUUUCUGUUAGGGCUGAGAUGAAGUAAUUGGCUAGAGAAGGACUGCAGGGAAAAGCUAUUUUCGAUAGGCUUUGUAAAAGUGCUGGUGGCUUUAAAAAUGCAAGAUCGAGUUCGGAUUUUCCCAAUUCUACGACACAGAUAUACGACAUAGUGAGAGAAGAGGUGGCCAUAAAAAGAGAGAUGAGGUAGUAGAACUAAUAGAUUUGUGCAAAGAAACCUGCGAACAGCCAAAUGCAUUUG